rnacentral:rRNA from 1 species
CCUACGGGAAGGCAGCAGUGAGGAAUAUUGGGCAAUGGGCGAAAGCCUGACCCAGCCACGCCGCGUGUGUGAUGAAGGCCUUCGGGUCGUAAAGCACUGUGGGGAGAGACGAACAAGCGCAUCAGGAAAUGCGUGCGCCUUGACGGUACCUCCUUAGCAAGCACCGGCUAACUCUGUGCCAGCAGCCGCGGUAAUACAGAGGGUGCAAACGUUGCUCGGAUUUACUGGGCGUAAAGCGCGUGUAGGCGGACUCGCAAGUCGGUUGUGAAAUCCCUGGGCUUAACCUAGGAACUGCAUCCGAAACUGCUUGUCUUGAGUAAUGGAGAGGGUGGCGGAAUUCCCGGUGUAGAGGUGAAAUUCGUAGAUAUCGGGAGGAACAUCAGUGGCGAAGGCGGCCACCUGGACAUUUACUGACGCUGAGACGCGAAAGCGUGGGGAGCAAACAGGAUUAGAUACCCUGGUAGUCCACGCCGUAAAACGAUGAGAACUAGGUGCAGCGGAUAUUGACCUCUGCUGUGCCGUAGCUAACGCGUUAAGUCUUCCGCCUGG